UACGUAGGGGGCGAGCGUUGUCCGGAUUAUUGGGCGUAAAGAGCGUGUAGGCGGUUCGGUAAGUCUGUCGUGAAAUCCUGAGGCUCAACCUUGGACGUGCGAUGGAUACUGCCGGGCUAGAGGAUGGUGAGGGGCGAGUGGAAUUCCCGGUGUAGCGGUGGAAUGCGUAGAGAUCCGGAAGAACACCGGUGGCGAAGGCGGCCUGCUGGGCAGUGGCUGACACUGAGGCGCGACAGCGUGGGGAGCAAACAGG
rnacentral:rRNA from 1 species